UACGUAGGGUCCAAGCGUUAUCCGGAAUCACUGGGCGUAAAGCGUGUGUAGGCGGCGUGUUAAGUGCGAUGCGAAAUCUUGUGGCUCAACCAUAUAGACUGUAUCGCAUACUGGCAUGCUAGAGGAUGGCAGAGGCAAGUGGAAUUGGUAGUGUAGCAGUGAAAUGCGUAGAUAUUACCAGGAACACCAAUGGCGAAGGCAGCUUGCUGGGCCAUCUCUGACGCUGAGACACGAAAGCGUGGGGAGCGAACAGG
rnacentral:rRNA from 1 species